AGCUCCAGUAGCGUAUAUUAAAGUUGUUGCAGUUAAAAAGCUCGUAGUUGGAUUUCUGGUUUGGCGCGUUCGGUCCGCUUCCGGUUACGGUCGUGAGUACCGAUGCGCGCUUGCCAUCCUUCCAGAGAACGUUUCUACCAUUUAUUUGGAUCGGAUUCGCAAUCUGGAUCUUUUACUUUGAAAAAAUUAGAGUGUUUAAAGCAGGCUUGUGCUAUGAAUACAUUAGCAUGGAAUAAUAUUUUAGGACUUUAGUUCUAUUUUGUUGGUUCUAGGAACUGAAGUAAUGAUUGAUAGGGAUAGUUGGGGGUGCUAGUAUUUCGCGGCCAGAGGUGAAAUUCUUGGAUUCGCGAAAGACUAACUUAUGCGAAAGCAUUCACCAAGGAUGUCUUCUUUA
rnacentral:rRNA from 1 species